GCCAAGCGUUCAUAGCGACGUAGCUUUUUGAUCCUUCGAUGUCGGCUCUUCCUAUCACUGCCUCGCAGCGGGGGCCAAAUGUAGGAUUGUUCACCCACCAACAGGGAACGUGAGCUGGGUUUAGACCGUCGUGAGACAGGUUAGUUUUACCCUACUGAUGAAGUGAUGUUGCGACAGUAAUCGAACUUAGUACGAGAGGAACAGUUCGUUCAGAUAA
rnacentral:rRNA from 1 species